UCGGAAGGUGCGGCUGGAUCACCUCCUUUUGAGCAUGACAGCUACAUCUGUCAGGCGUCCUCACAAGUAACCUGCAUUCAGAGAGUUCCGCCACAGGGCGGAGCACCCCGAAAUACCGGGGCCAUAGCUCAGCUGGGAGAGCACCUGCUUUGCAAGCAGGGGGUCGUCGGUUCGAUCCCGACUGGCUCCACCACUGACGAAGACUUUGGGUCUGUAGCUCAGGUGGUUAGAGCGCACCCCUGAUAAGGGUGAGGUCGGUGGUUCGAGUCCUCCCAGACCCACCACUCUGAAUGUAUCGCACACUAAGAAUUUAGAUGCUCGGCGUUGAGGCCGUAGCGUUGCUCUUUAAUAAUUUGUGAUGUAGCGAGCGUUUGAGAACAAACUUCUCGACGUGUCGUUGUGGCUAAGGCGGGGACCUCGAGUCCCUAGAAAUUGAGUCGUUAUAGUUCGCGUCCAGGCUUUGUACCCCUGGACUGAAUAUGACCUUGAGGCAACUUGAGGUUAUAUGGUCAAGCGAAUAAGCGCACAC
rnacentral:misc_RNA from 1 species